GCAUAGCAAUGAGCUGAGAAUCAACUGACGCCUAGUGGCAAAAAGGUAGAACUGCAUAUACUGUGUGGUUCCCCUUCUGACAACAAUGUAACACCCUCACACAGUCAGUGUCCUUCCUGCUAUCACAAGAUAUCACACAGACUCGCAGCAAAGGUCUACACUGACAACUCCAGUAUUAAAACAUGCAUAACAGACGCUCCUUUUAUUCUGUGGUAAAGAAAGCAAAUGAGUCUUUCUUUGAUGUUGUGCAUCAAUUGUACAAAAAACAAGCAGCAACAACUCACCUUUGGUAAUCUGCUCUGUGGCCUGAAAAAACAAACAAACAAGUUAACAACAGAUCAAACUUAAAAUGAUAAGAUAAACAUGUAAUGCAUUCCAUGUAAGAUCCAGAAAACAGUAUGCGGUUUUGCAUGAAAUAAUUUUUAACAUUUUUGCUCAUGAUCCACGGAAACAGUAAUGAAGCAAACUAGUCAGGGCAAUGCUAAGGGACAGGUAGUGCUCGUGUAUUUAAACACUAAAUUGAUUAACGCUCGACACAUUUAAGAGCUCCAAACAAGAUUUCGUUUGCCGUGGUUUGACUGCUGGCACUCGCCUCAUUGCAAGACGGUGGAGUUAAGUCCAUCUGACAGAUGAGGACCUGAUUAUUGCUGUGUUAUUUAAUUGAAUAGUGUAAACUGUAUUAUUUAUUAAGUUAAUGAGGGAAAACUAGCCUGUAGCUUGUACUUUUUCCAGCACUAGCAAAAAAAAAAAAAAAAAAAGCUUAAGCACAAGCACAACAGAUCGCUAGAAGAGGACUUAAGGUUAGGGGAUAUGAAUAUAUAAAUGUGCUGACAUAGGAGCUCUAUACACCGAAAACACUUAUAAUGUAGAGCUGUGCCUGGCCUUGUACUACAUAGCAUACUAGCAUCUAAAAUACUACAAAUGCCAACAAGCUUGUUCUUUUCACCAUAGAAUAAUCUGUAAUUAUUUAUGAUUGCUUUAGUCUAUAAAAUGUAGACAUUUUAUCCUAAAAUUAUAAUUAGAACUAACAAAAAAUAUUUUCUGUGUAACCAAAACAAGCAGCACAACAGGUCAAAUGUUGCUUGAGCCCUCGUAAUGGAGACUACAGACAAAGAGGAGUCCCUGCAUUAAACACAAAGUUAACUGGAAACUGGUUAAAAAUAAAACAUUAAUAAUUAUAAAAUCACUCCAAUCCCUACCCAAAAUCCAGCUGACUGCCAGUAACUGCUGCAAUUAGCUGGAGUUUACAGUAUCUUAUCAUAUGAUAAAGAACAGGAAGGAACAAUUACAGCAACAUGAUAAAAGCAUGUGGGUUUCAAAAACACUCUGCAAGCCUACCUUUUUUUGAGCAGCCUCUUUCUUUUUCUUCUCGUCUUGUUUUUUCUUUUUCUUAUCUUCCAUCAAAUGGUUCUCUUCUUGUAUUUUUGCUUCUUUUCACAGCUUAAAUAAAAAGAGAGAUGGAGAGAGAUGGACAAGGUUUUACCCCAAGAACCAGUCAAAGAGAGGAGUACUUUGGCUCAGCAGAGUGAACACAGAUGAAAGUGAUUUCUUGACAUUUUCUUUUCAGCUGAAUGGUUCAUUUUAUCAGUCUUCAAGCUGAAAUCAGUGUGUCAGUAGCUGCGUUUGUAACACGUGACGAUAUGUGGACUAGUAACACACUGAAAUCACUGUCAGCUGAGGUGAAUAGUUUUGAUUAUCGUCAACUCCAAAAUCCAAAUUCAAUCAACAUCUGUUCAGGAUCUUCCAGAACAACCCCAAACCAAUCAGGGUUAACUGCAACCCACAGCACUCAAAAUGAUCCACUGCCAAAGUUCUAAUAGUACCUACUCAGCCCUACCUGGUUUCAGUUGUUUCCUAAUACAAUUGUGAAUGGGGUCAUUACAGCAAUGUGGCUGAAAGAUGUGACGUCAUUUGGAUAGAAAAACAAAACAAAACAAAAAACCACAAAAAAUAAAAAAUAAAAAAUAAAAAUAUGGUGGAUGUCAAGGUUAUAGUAUACCUGCUUCUCAGUUUAUGGCUUUUUCUCAGACUCUGGGACAUUUCUCAUAUACUCGGGUUUGAAAAACUGAAGUUUUGAUUUUCAUGAAGCCACUCUCAUGACUCAUUGAGUGACGCCACUAACUAGCCAAUUGGUGGCGUGCAGUCUGUUAACGUCACAGAACCCCAGCUGAGUAGGUACUAAACAACCACCUGGUACCAAGUACUCCAACCUAAUGUAAAAACCCUAAAAACCAAAAGUCUUGUCAUUUAGCUUCAGCUGACUAAAUGUCAUAAGAUUAUGACAGAAUAAAUCUAAAGUUCAUUCACUUGACUUAAGAGUAAAAGUUUGUUGUGAUUUUAUAGGUAAGAGUUACUCGGCACGUUUACAGAUUGAUAUCAAGAGAAAUAAAACAAAAGCAAAAUGUGUCCAUAUGUCCACUCUUCUCUUCUUUCUCGCAGUUUUAUGAGAGAGCAUGGGAGCUGGC
ensembl:lncRNA